GCUUUGGUGGUGCAGUGGUAGAGCACGCGUCUCCGGAUAGGUUUAAGCGCUGGUCCGAUUCCCGCCUGAAGCC